GCUGCUGGAGGAGAAACACAGUACAGCCACAUGGGGGCGCUCCUUCCUCUGGGAAGCGUUUCAAUGGGCAACGUUGAGUUCAGAGAGGACCUACCAGUGCAGGUUGAAAGGUUCAGAAGUUUGGAAGCAAGAAGGCAAUCAGCUUUCCCAUCCAGACCAAAAGUUUCAUACCCACUUUUUCCAUGAACCAAAGGGCACAGGGUGAACAGCCUGGCAUUCAGCAGCCCUCCCCGGGAAGUCCUGGCCAGAAAGGGGCAGGCUGGGGAACCGCAUUACCUGGUUUCUGAUGGAGCCACGACAGGAAGUUUAUAUGCCAAGGUGAUCAGAGCAGUGGCUGUGAAAGAUGCCAAGAACAGCAUGGCCCCAAGGAGGAUGAGGAUCUGUGUACUCCUGCAAAGAAGAGAGGAUACGGAGAGGAGUGCCCUUCAGUUUCUUGCCCCACACAUGCGCUUCCUAUGGCACGAAAGGCUGGAAAUCCUGACCAUCAGAGGUACUUCCUGCUUUUGAGAGGCCCUGCUUUUGAGAGGCUGAUGAGUGGCAGGGAGAGCGGGGCUGGGGCUGGAGGACCUGAGGCAGCCUCGGUCUUGACCAUCCAUUAGUUGUGCCACACCGGGCAGGGCCUUGAGCUUGAGUUUCCUGGUCUAGACAGGAACAGUAAUCGCAUCCUCGCCUGCCCACCCUGAGGCUUACUAUGCAGCUCAAAAGGAGUCCAUGCCUGGGAACGUCCCUUGUCAUCUAUGAAACCCGAUAUGGAUACAAGUGGUGGUUGAUUUGGGAGAGAGGACUGUCAAAGGCAGGGUGGGACACGGGGUGGACCCACUCCAAGCACAGGGGAGAGAGGAUCGAGAAGGAGGAUGGUAUGGUUUGGAUCUUUGUCCCUGCCCAUAUCUCAUGUGGAAUUGUAAUCCCCAGUGUUGAAGUGGGGCCUGAUAGGAGGUGACUGGAUCGUGGGGAUGGAUUUCCCCCUUGCUGUUCUUGUGAUAGUGAGUGAAUUCUCAUGAGAUCUGGCUGUUUAAAAGUGUGUAGCACCUCCCCGCUUUGCUCUCUUCCUCCUGCUCCCACCAUAUUAAGAUGUGCCUGGUUCCCCAUCUGCCCUGAUUGUAAGUUUCCUGAGGCCUUCCCAGAAGCAGAAGCCUGCACAGCCUGCAGAACCAUGAGUCAAUUAAACCUCUUUUCUUUAUAAAUUACCCAGUCUCAGGUAGUUCUUUAUAGCAUGUGAAAACGGACUAAUGCAGAGGGGGAACCAGGCACGCCUUCAACUGAGGAGCAGAGCCUGAGACAAAUGUCCGGGUGCAGGUAGUUCACGUGGGUGUAGGAAUGAGGGAUAGGGUAGGAGAACAGGGAAGCAGGGAAAACCAAUACCAGGAUGUGCUAUCAAGGUGGCCAAUGCUCAGUUCUUCCAGAAUGUUCCACAGGGCCAUAUGAAAUGUACCUUAAAACUGUCCUGUGAGAUGAAAGACAGAAGGAUUUUCCCACUGUCUUCUAUCUCAAAUGGGUUAAGGAUGGUCCCACACAAAUUAAUUCCUCCACACUUUGGGACCGUGCAUGUAUAAGACUAGGAUGUUUCCUGAAGCACCCAGAGUGAGGCGCUGUCUGGUUGUACCUGCUCCGAAGUGUGAGGGUUGGGAUUAAGAGGAUCCACAGUGGUGUGGAAGAAAUGUCAAACACAAGUGCGAGACCAUCCAGGCACAGCCUGACCUGGAAAAUGCCUUUGACAAUGCAAUUCUGCUAGUGAAAGUUGCCAUGGCUGUUCAUGAGGAAGGGAUGAGAUAGAUACUAUUCAGUUAUCAAGUGAUACAGGGAGAAAAUUAUUUUCAGCCAGAGUACCAAUGUUAGUGUAAUAUUUGGAAAGAAGGAUGAAUUCUAGCUCCAUGAUGCUAUGAUUGAUUACUAAUGUCUGCUAUGAGGGUAAGCAGGGGGUUAUGGUAAUAAUGCUGUAUGUAUAUUUACUAUGACUUCUGCCAGACCCCUUAGCUCUUCUCUCCUUGAAUUACUGAGCUCCAGAAAGACCUGAUUCCACUGGCAUUCCAUGGAAUUAUAUUCUCUAAAGGAAGAAAAGCCCUACUUUUAUAUUUCCCUCCACUUAUAAGCUAAAUCUUGUUGCAUAGUCACAAGUUUGGACAGUGUGGGUUUUCAGCUGAAGGACUGAAAUCCACCUUCCACGACAGCCUUUGGGAAAGAUGCUGACACGGGGCCAGUGCUCCUCAGUCACAAGGACACUCACAUGGGUUCCCAGGCAAGUCUAGAGUGCGGAGGCAUAAGAACUCAGUGUCCUAGGUAAGUGGUAGUCAGGCCAUCCAAUAAAAACCCACAGCCACCCGAGUAAAUAUGUGUUUAACUCCCUGGGGGACUUGAGCCCAGUCCCUGGCACCUACUUCCAAGAUCAGUAUCUCCACCACAGACUCCACAAGUCUCUUCCAGCUAGCACCAUUUCAACUAAACUCAUAAAUCUUCCUGACAUUGAAUGUUAUGGGCUGAAUUAUGUCCCCAACAAAGUCCUAUGUUGAAAUCCUAACCCCCAGUAAUUCAGAGUGUGACUGUAUUUGAAGAUAGAGUCUUUAAAGCAAUAAUUAACAUUAAACGAGGUCAUUGGGGUGGGCCUUAAUCCAAUAUGACUGUGUCCUUAUAAGAAGAGGAAACUUGGACACAGAAGGAAGAACAUGUGAAGACUCAGAUGUUUUGUUUUAUUAUUAAUAUUCCAUUCUGGCAACAGUUAAAUUGGAUGACUAGAGGACUGAAUAUUGAUGUUCCCUCUACGGAAAGUGAUUUAUCAUUAUGAUUCAAGAGCGUAAAAGACAUUCAUGCCCUUUGACCUAUUAAUUCCCCUCAAAGAUAUAUGUUGUAGAGAAGUAUCAAAGUUGGAGACAAAUGGUUUCCAUGAAAAUAUUUAUCAAGCCAUUAUUUAUGAAUGCAUAACAUUGGAAAUAAUCCCAGUAUUAAACAAUAGAAGGUAUACAUAAAUUAUAUAGUUAGUUCAUGGAAUGGAAUGUUAUGCAGACAUUUAAAUUAUGUUGCUUUAAAAAUAAAAUAAUAUAGGGAAAUGCAUGUGUCAUAAAACUAUUGAAAGAAAGAUACCAAGGUGUAUAUACAGAAUGCUUUCAUGUAUCAAAAGCAGGGCACAGCCUGGGCAACACGGCAAGACCUCAUCUCUUUACAGAAGGUAAAAAAUUAGCAAGGUGCAGUGGUCCAUGCCUGUUACUCGAGAGGUUGAGGCAGGAGAAUCGUUUGAGCCCAGGAGUUGGAGGCUGCAGUGAGCUAUGAUGGCACCACCGCACUAUAGCAGCCUGGGUGACAGAGUGAGACCCUCAUCUCUUUAAAAAAAAAAAAAAAAAAAAAAAACUGGGCAGAAAAAAUAUCAGAAGGAUAAGCCCCAAAAUAUUAGCAGCAAAUUCUCCUUCCCUUGACUGACAAAGUGGAACUGGGGUGAUUAUUCCCCCCUCUCUUAACUCCUAAUGUUUUCCAAUGUUUCUUAAAUUGAACAUAUAUUUUAACACAAAGAACAAUAAAUUUUUAAAAUAUGGCAUGAAUAAUCCACAACUACAAGUCUCUCCAUGAAUUAUUGAGGCCUUAAGGUGUUUCUAAAACUAACAAAAAUUAAGGUGAUAAAUAUCCAAUGUGGGAAAGCUGGUGCACCGAUACAUGGCUGAGGGCGUUGUAAAUUACUUCACUCUUUCUGGAGAGCAAUCUCACAAUAUGUGACAAGUGCCACAGAAUUGUUCCUACCCUUUGACCUAGCAAUUCCAGUUGGAAAUCUGCCCCUGUGAAAAUAACUAAGAGAAAAAGUAGUGUGUUCAAAGGCAUGCAUUGCAGUGACAUUUAUAAUCAUGAAAAAUUGGCCACAAUCUAGAUACCCAACCAUAAAAAUGGUAGAUAAACCCUAAAACUGCCAAGUAUGCAGGUUAUGUCAAUAUGUGGCAAUGUUUAUAAGAACAGUUAAAUGGAAAAAGCUGAGCACUAGAUAUUACAUGCACACACUGAUUGUAACUCUGCAAAACACACACUGACUGGCGUAGGAUCAAUGUUGGAAAAGAAUGCAGAAGAAGGCAGACCGUAGAGGAUUUGGUAUUUACUUUUCUGUAAAGUUUCCUAGAUUUUAAAAAGCAGCUCUGCACGGAACUGGGAUACUUUCUGAGGGUUUUGUGAAAGAGGGCACAUGAGGAGAAAAGCUUGUCCCAAUCAGACUCACUUUACAUGGAUGAAGAUAAUCACUGGUGUGGUGAGGUGGAACUGGAAGUCAUUGGCAAGGUACCAGGUCCAGCCAUUGCACUGAAAAGAGAGCAGCAAAGGUCACUCUUCCUUCAUUUACCAGUUCUGCUCCACACUCUCCACCUGCCUGGACUAGGAGGAAGAAUUUAGUAGGUGGAAAGAACAUGUUCAUUUAGAACCAGGGCUUGGCUCCAGAUGAUGUUUUGUGGAGAACCCCAGAGUUCCCAUGGAUGAUUGACAUGGUCAAAAUGAGUUCCACAGACAGUCCAUGCUUGUGCCAGAUGAGAUGGUUACCAGUAUUUUUUUCGUCAAUGUGAGGAAGCGCCUGGGGGCAAUUCUCUCCAAAGGGCCCUGGCACCUCUGCUUUCAAGGAUCUAAGGUGGGCUCUACCUCAAAAAGGCCACUGGCUGGUAUCCUUGCCACUGCUUCCUGCAAGUGGCCCAAAUCAGUUUGCAUCAGGGAAAACAGCCCAGAUUAUCCCCUGGGUACCCCAUCACAGACAAGCGGGCCCUACCUGCAGGCAGGUAGCUGGUGAUGCAAGCCUGUCCAUAUGGCUGGGCCUUUGCAAAUGGAAGGCAGCCAUCUAGUUAGUCAGUUGUUACGUGCAAAGAUUAGGGCCCUGCCACGCUUUAGCGAUUCCCUUUUCAGCCUUGAUUUCAAGGCAUAUGUGGAAUUGGUGAUAUAAUUUCAUUACAGCUAUUUCACUUUCACUUGCUUCAAAUGCAUUACGAGGAAACUGGGGCUUUGGAGAAGCCAAGACGCACAUAGAUCUUGUUGCUCCAAAGCAACAAGAUCUUUGAACUUGAGUAGAAUUCCACAUAGUAAGGGUGUGAUGCGAUGUCCCAUUGCAGUAGAGACUCAACAGGCGGAGGUGAAUAAUUUGUCCUUUCCCGGUUGGGCAACAUGGGCUGGCACAAGAACAGUGAUGGGGCAGGGUCAGCUGCCUCCGGGACAUGUGCCAGGAUGACUGGCCCCUUGUUGGCCAAUGCUAUGCUCCCCUCCCUCUGCUGUUCACAGCGGCUGCCCUCUGCAUAGCCUGGUACGGUUACACCAACUGCAUGGCAAGAAGCCAUCCCCCACUCACACAGCCCACCUUCCUACAGCAUCACCAGUACUCCAGAGAAAAUACCAGAAUCAGGUUGGCCCUUGGAAAGUUCACCACACUGCUUGAAGAAAUGAGACUCCAGGUUUGCACCCUUCUGCCUUUUCAAAGCCAGCAACUUGAGACUCACCGCAUUCUUGACCGACACAAAGUUAUUUAGCAACAGCAGAUUCGUCCACCAUGCUUGCCGGCAGUUAUCCCAGUGGAAUUUGGGCAUUUCCCAGACAGGUCCCCAGGGAACAAGAGAGAACAGUCCAACCAACAAGCACAUUGAAUACAGGUGAAGAGGCUGCAACCUGGCAGGAGAGAACCGAGAGAAAGAAGGUGACUUUCCACCGGGGUCCCUCCAGUCAUCUCAGUGGGCACGUGGCGGGUGGGGCAUAAGGUGCUCUAAAACAGAUUGUUUGUACCGUGGGCAGCUGCCACCCAGCCACACCUCAAACGUUCAAGCAUCCACGAGUUCCAGAUCACUUACUGAGCACCUAUCAUGUACUGGCUCAGGUGCUACUGCUGCAAAAAUACUGCUAUUUAUUUCUCUUUUUUUAAGAGACAGGGUCUCACUCACUACGGCCCUGACUUCCACCUCCUGGGCUCAAGCGAUCCUCUCACCUCAACCUCCCAAUUAGCUAGAACUGCAGGCGCAUGCCACCAUGUUCCACUAAAAAUACUGUUAUUUAUUGAGCAAGUCAUAUAGGCCAACCACUGUGGGAGGAGCCUGCUAGAGAUUUCUAAACCUCAAAACAAUCCUGCAAGGUAGCUAUGACCUCCAUUUUAUGAAGAAAUUAUAGCUAAGAGAAGAUAGGGUGACUUGCCCAAGGUCACCAACCACAUAGCAGUACCAAGAUCUGACACUGGUUCAUGUUCUUUCCACAUGGCCUCACACGAUGAAAAACUCUUUCUUCCUUCCCUCCCUCACUUGCUUCAUUUCUCCCUUCCUUCACGCCCUACCUCCUCCAAGCAAGAUCUGAAGCAGCUACAAAGGGGAAGAAUCAGGAGUAAGGUGUCUAGACCAGCGCUGUUCAACAGAAACAGGAUGCAAGCACAGCUGCCCCCAGUUUUACACUUUCCAGCAGCCACAAUUUAAAAGGUAAAAAGAAAUAGGUACAAAUCAUUUUAAUGUUAUUUAUUUAGACCAAUAUAUCCAAAAUAUUAUCAUUACAAAUACGUACCCAAUAUGAAACAUUGUUAAUAAGCUAUUUGACAUUCUUUUCCCUUUUACUGAGUCUUCAGAGCCCAGUGUGGGCUUUGCACACAUAGCACAUCUCACUUACCCACUUACCUGGUGGCUAUUUGCUGGACAGUGUGGGUUUAGAGUUUAGAAAUGAGAUUGCAGCCUGGAGGCGCAUAUAAUACUGGCAUGGAUUCUGCAUGGGCUGGGGUCAGAGCCCUCUUCUAAAAGAAUAUAGCUAAAAAUCCAGGGUAGUUUUGGCUCAACUAGGGCAGAACAAUGGCCCAGCAGUACCUCCAGACACCUAGGUGAGAGGGUGGGGGCUGGGGUGGUGGUCACAGAUGGGAACUGGCAGGACUUGGAGCGUCUCCACUUAGAGGUACAUCCCCAGCAGAGAGGGGCUCAGCACCAAGCCUCUGGUCUGCACCUGGGGACGGAGACCAUUGAUUCCCCUGUUCUCCCCACAAUGAGAACGUCCUACAUAGAGAGUGUCCGGUGGGUGGGAGGGCGGUAGGCAUUCUAGGAGAGGGAGUGGAAUUGUUGAUCAAUGUCAUACAGAAAAGGCAGGCAACUCUGUCAAGACACAGCUUCCCAGAUCAGCUCGCCUGCGGGUUUGCUCAGGCAACAGCCUCCCUGGGUCCUAGGCACUGGGUCCUGCCAUGUUUGCCAUCUGACCAUGCUGCCCCGCAGCUGCCCCUACAAGCCUCCGGCCCCGCCUUUUUGAUCAUCCUUCCCACCAUCUGUCACCUCCCCUCCCCGGGGAAAGUAGCCAGCGCUGCUCCCUUCAGAAGGAGAGCAGAAGGGAGCAUUCCCCUGCCCCCCACUCCAGGCAGCAUCCCUCACCUCUGCCAAAUCCCCCCUCCCCAGGGUGCUUGUUAAAAUGCAGACUUGGAGUCUGCAGGCUGUUGGGUGGGCCACGCCUUGAGUAGCAAGUUCAUCUAAACUUUUCACACUGAGAAAAUCAUGUAAUGUCUCCUCUUUCCUCUCCUCUAAAAGGGAAAUGAGGGUUUCUGCUUUCUAAGAUUUUUUUGAAAAUCUAACAAGAAAACAGUUUGAAAUAUUUAAACCACCCUCAAAUAUACAGGUGCUACAUUUUUGUCCAAGUUUCCAAGAGAAUAAAAGUCAAAGUGGGUUUUCAAAGAUUAAAAUGUGGGAUACUGGCCAGUGUGGUGGAGGGGUGAGAAGCAGGGAUUCUCAUACCUGGUGGGUGGGAAGGUAAAUUGGAAAAUGCACAUUAAAUGUUAAAUGCCCAAAACCCCCCAUUCCACUUGUAGGAAUUUAGCCCACAAACAUGUCUAUACAAGUGCACAAAAAUAUAUAGAGAUUAUCCCAUUGUCUAAGACAGCAAAGAAUUUGGACAUUAGCUCCAUGUCCACUAAUGGGGACAAGUUAAAUACAUAAUGGUACCCCACUGUGCCAUACUGAUAACCUUUAACAUCAGGGAUGUGGGUUCUUGUGUGCUUAUAGAGAAAUAGGCCAAUUCUGUAUUAUAAAUGAAAACACCACGUACAAACAGUGAAGUAUAUACUGCAAUCCUAUGCGUGCAGGAGAAGAACAGUGCUUAUAAAUACAUGGAAAGAUUCUGCAAGAAUUCCUAAGAAACUGUUAAAUACAGGUGUCCUGGGGGGAGUGAGACUAGAAGGGGGACCCUUUAUUUUAGUUAUAAGCUUCUGUUAUAGUUAGACAUUUUUAUCACAAGGUAUAAAAAAAAAAAAACCCUAAUUUUUAAAAUGUAGCUGCUAGUUGACAUAACCAGGCAGUUCUACAGUUCUAGAGCUUUACUCUCUUCCUUUCCUGUUAGAUAAUCUCUGUCCUGACUUACCCCUAGAAGUUGGGUUUGGGGAUUUUCUUAUAACUUGCAAUAGCUCCCAAAUGGUCUCCCCCUAUCUGGACCUUACAGCCAUUCUCUGCCCUGCAGCCAGAGUGAGUCUUGCAAGAUGUAAAUCUGCCCAUGCCACUCCCUUGCUGGGACCCUUCAGAGGUUUAUGUCUCAGAACAACAGGGAGAGUCCUUAGGGCAGCCUCCGCCCGUCUCUGACCUCAUUCCUCCCACUGUCCACGUGGCUCACUUCACUCCACACAACACCUUUGGGCUCUUUGAGGCUCUUCACACACUGCGACGCCCCUCCUUCCCCAGGACCUUUGUGAUUCGGUUCUCCCGGAAUGGACCAUUCUUCCCCCACAGGAUUUUCUUUGCUUAGAACAUUCCUUUAUUUUCUUCUGGGCUCUGGCCAAAAGUCACCUCCCCUGACUGCCCUUCCAGAGAAAGCCUCCAGCUUGCUUUCUUCUUUUAUUUAUUUAUUUAUUUGGGCAAAGUCUCGUUCUGUCGCCCAGGCUGGAAGGCAGUGGUGCGAUCACGGCUCACUGAAGCAUCCGCCUCCUGGGCUCAAGCAAUCCUCCCACCUCAGCCUCCCAAGGAGCUGGGACCACGGGCACGUGCCACCACACCAGGCUAAUUUUUUGUAUGUUUUGUAGAAAUGAGGUCUCACUAUGUUGGCCAGGCUGGUCUCAAACUCCUGGGCUCAGGGGAUCGUCCCACCUUUGCCUCCCAAAGUGCUGGGAUUGUAAGGCGUGAGCCACUGCACCCAGCCUCUUCUCCAAAUGAUCACUUUGUGGCACCCAUCCUCCCUGGCCUAGCAUACAUUUAUUUGCAUGCUGCAACUUCAAAUUGCAUAUUCAUUUAUUUAUUGUCUGCCUGUAUUCACUGGAAUGUAACCUGAGGGCUGGAAGGCACAUUUGCAUGGCUUAUUAAAACUCUGUUCUCAGGGCUUAGGACAGCGCCUAGCACAAAAUGGGCCUCAGAAUGAGUGAAUGAACAGAUGGUCUGACCCCUGUCCUCCUGGAGAUAAGCAGACAAGUGAUAAGUGCUAACCAGGUAGCAUCAGUGAGUUAUACCAGCACACAUGAGAACCUCAAAAUGGCCAGGAUCAUGACUGUUUUUUCACUGGGGUUACCUUAGUGAGGGUGAGUUCAACUUGUGGGUUUGUGACAGUUCCCUCCAUUUUCAAAAAAAUUUUUUCCCAGGUUGGACUGAUUGUCUCCCUAGGCUCCCACUCUGACCUGCCUCCCUUCCAGAGUUCCCCAGCUCAAGAAUGCCAGCACCACCUGCCAUGUUGCUCAAGCCAGAAAAUUCCUGAGUCCUUGAUUUCUCCUCUCUCCAUUCCCACUGCCAAUUGCCAGUGCAAACCCUGCUCUCCUGCCCAGACACUGCAGUAAUUUACUCACUGGGGUCCUUGUCUUACAAGGUCUCACUACCACCCAACUCUCACCCCGUGCUCCUCCUGCCCCUACCACUGCUCUAUCCACCUUGAAAAAACCCCUCUCUCCUCAAUCCCCAGCUCCAGACUUUUACUCUGAAGUAGGUUUCCCAAGGCUGGAUGCAGUGGCUCACACUUGUAUUCCUAGCAUUUUGGGAGGCCAAAGCGGACAGAUUAUCUGAGGUCAGGAGUUUGAGACCAGCCUGGCCAACACAAAAAACCCUGUCUCUACUAAAAAUACAAAAAUGAGCCAGGCAUGGUGGUGGGUACCUGUAAUCCCAGCUACUCAGAAGGCUGAGGCAGGAGAAUCACUUGAACUCAGGAGGAAGAGGUUGCAAUGAGCCAAGAUCGUGCCACUGCACUCCAGCCCGGGCGAUAGAGCAAGACUCCAUCUCAAAAAAUAAAUAAAUAGGCCAGGGAUGGUGGCUCAUGCCUGUAAUCCCAGCACUUCGGGAGGCCGAGGCAGGCGGAUCACCUGAGGUCAGGAGUCCAAGACCAGACUCAUCAAUAUGAUGAAACCCCGUCUCUACUAAAAAUACAAAAAUUAGGGGGUCAUGGUCGUGCAUGCCUGUAAUCCCAGCUACUCGGGAGGCUGAGACAGGAGAAUUGCUUGAACCCGGGAGGCGGAGGUUGCAGUGAGCCGAGAUCGUGACAUUGCAGUCCAGCCUGGGCAACAAAAGCGAAACUCCAUCUCAAAAAAUAAAUUAAAUAAAUAAAUAAAAUAAAAUAAAAUAAAAUAAAAAAGUUGGUUUCCCAAGCAGAACCCACCAUGCCAUUAGAUCCCCUGCCCCAACCCCCACCUAACCCCUCUGAGCAUUUAUCACCAUGACCCCUCAUCCUGUAUGCCAGCCUCUCACCUCCAGAAAACCUCAGGGCAGGACAGGCUGCUUACCCCAGUGCCACACACCCAAAAUAUAUUGAAAUCAUAAGCCUUCUGCCCUUCCCUGGAGGAGGGUUAGAUUUUAUAAAGCUUGGAAGAAACCACAAAGACUGUGGUGAAAAGAAACCAACAAAGGUCUAUUCCUUAGCUUCUCCCCAUUCUUCACCUAUUUGAUGGAAAGCUUAAAAGGUAUAAAUAACCACCACGCUAAUAAUGAUAGCUCCUACGUAUUGAGGGCUUACUAUGUAUAAAGCACCCUUCCAAGUUCUUUACAUACAUUAUCUCAUUGAAUCCUCACAAGAGUCCUGUGAUGUGUCACUAUUCUUCCCAUUUUAGAGAUGAGCAAAUGCAAGCACAGAAAGACUGAGAGAGACACUUAACUCAAGGUCACACCGCUGCUAUGUGAUUGAGCCAGAAUACACGCUCAGCAGUCCAACUACAGAGUCUGCACUUGCCCACUGCAUUUCACUAGUCCCAAAGAUUAUGACAACACUCCUCUUCCUAUUUUGUGACAGUGUGGUAUAACAAGAUGAACGUGAACCAGGAGUCAGGAGUGCUGGCUUCCAGCUCAGCAAAUAACCACGACAUAGAAAAUAUAUCAAUGGCAGGGUUGGAUGACAUGAGCUGAAGUUUCCUUUUCUCCCUUAACUUUGUUGUUUUUUUUGUUUGUUUGUUUUGAGACAGGGUCUCACUCUGUUGCCCACGCUGGAGUGCAGUGGCAGGAUCUUGGCUCACUGCAACCUCCACCUCCGGAGUUCAAGUGAUUCUCCCACCUCAACUUCCCGAGUAGCUGGGAUUACAGUCGUGUGCCACCACGCUCAGCUAAUCAUUUGUAUUUUUGGUAGAGAAAGGGUUUCACCAUGUUAGCCAGGCUGGUCUCAAACUCCUCACCUCAAGUGAUAUGCCCCCCUCAGCCUCCCAAGGGCCUCCCCAAAACGCCUGAGAUUACAGGCAUGAGCCACUGUGCCCAGCCCUUCCUCCCUUAACUUUGGUUGUCUCAUUCUGUCACUGCCACUCUGCUACCACCGAUUCCGUAUUCUGCCCCAGUGUUGGAAUCCCUUCUGCAUCAACCAACCACACAUUCCUAAAGGAGACCGUCAGCUAGGCACGGUGGCUCACGCCUGCAAUCCCAGGACUUUGGGAGGCCGAGACAGGCAGAUCACGAGGUCAGGAGUUCAAGACCAGCCUGGCCAACAUAGUGAAACCCCGUCUCUACUAAAAAUACAAAAAAAAAUCAAAUCAAAUAUUAGCCAGUCAUGGUGGCGGGCGCCUGUAAUCCCACCUACUCAGGAGGCUGAGGCAGGAGAAUUGCUUGAACCCAGCAGGCAGAGGUUGAAGUGAGCAGAGAUGGCGUCACUGCACUCCAGCCUGGGUCACAGUGCGAGACUCUGUCUCAAAAACAAAAAAAAAAAAAAAAAAAAAAGGAGAUCGUCAUUCUUCCUGCCUCCCUCCCAGCAGAAUGGCCAUGGCCCAGAGCUUCAACCAAGUUCCUUUCCUGGUCACGUACUGUUUUAUUUUUAUCAUUACCAUUAGCACUCUGAUUUAUAGGAUCCAAUUACUACUAAUUUGCAGACAAACAAAUUUUCCUGUUGAAUACAGAUUCCAUGGAAAUCUGACAGUGCAUUUAUUGAACUCUGCUGCCCAUCAGCUGAGGACUAAGGAUGUUUUUGCCAGUGGAACAUACCAGUUUUCAUGGUAUUUGUCCCAGUAGAAUUUGAUCCAUAUUAAACCAGCUUAAAUCAACUGUAUUUAGGGAAGAAAACUAUUUCUUUCAGUUUAUUUUUCUUUGGAAAUUCUUUGAAAAGAGGGUUAAAGACAGAAAACUAAUAAAUCGUUACAUAGCAAUGAGGAAUUGAGAAAUUAAGUAAAUAAACCUACUGUCAGGCCUCUGAGCCCAAGCUAAGCCAUCAUAUCCCCUGUGACCUGCACAUAUACAUCCAGAUGGCCUGAAGCAACUGAAGAUCCACAAAAGAAGUGAAAAUAGCCUUAACUGAUGACGUUCCACCAUUGUGAUUUGUUUCUGCCCCACCCUAACUGAUCAAUGUACUUUGUAAUCUCCCCCACCCUUAAGAAGUUUCUUUGUAAUUCUCCCCACCCUUGAGAAUGUACUUUGUGAGAUCCACCCACUGCCCCCCGCAAAACAUUGCUCCUAACUCCACCGCCUAUACCAAAACCUAUAAGAACUAAUGAAAAGCCCACCACCCUUUGCUGACUCUCUUUUCGGACUCAGCCCACCUGCACCCAGGUGAAAUAAACAGCCUUGUUGCUUGCACAAAGCCUGUCUGGUGGUCUCUUCACACGGACACACGUGACACCUACCUUACCAGGUGACUGAGAAAGUAUCUGAGUAUGCCUUUGGGGGUUAUUCCUUUGUCUGAAUUCUGAUGCAUCUUUAAAAACGAACUUGCACUUAACCAACCACUAAAAGAAAAAGAAGAAUUGUCG
rnacentral:lncRNA from 1 species